rnacentral:rRNA from 1 species
UUGAACGCUGGCGGAAUGCUUUACACAUGCAAGUCGAGCGGCAGCGCGGGGGCAACCCUGGCGGCGAGCGGCGAACGGGUGAGUAAUGCAUCGGAACGUACCCAGUCGUGGGGGAUAACUACGCGAAAGCGUAGCUAAUACCGCAUACGCCCUGAGGGGGAAAGCGGGGGACCUUCGGGCCUCGCGCGAUUGGAGCGGCUGAUGUCGGAUUAGCUAGUUGGUGGGGUAAAGGCCUACCAAGGCGACGAUCCGUAGCUGGUCUGAGAGGAUGAUCAGCCACACUGGGACUGAGACACGGCCCAGACUCCUACGGGAGGCAGCAGUGGGGAAUUUUGGACAAUGGGCGCAAGCCUGAUCCAGCCAUGCCGCGUGAGUGAAGAAGGCCUUCGGGUUGUAAAGCUCUUUCAGACGGAAAGAAAUCGGGCGCGUGAAUAGCGUGCCUGGAUGACGGUACUGUCAGAAGAAGCACCGGCUAACUACGU